rnacentral:rRNA from 1 species
AUGAAGAAUCUGAAGCUUGUGACCAGGAUCGUGCAGGAGCUCCAGCUCCAUCUCGACGGCGAGACCCUUGUCGUAUCCGCCAUCGACGCCGAGCGCCACCGUGCCUUCUUCGUCUCCUCCGCCAACUUCCUCUAUUCCGUUAAUCUCCUCGCCUCCACCCAGCAACCUCUGCAAUGGAGUAAAACCACUCUAGAUUCAGAUGUGGAGGAGGUUCUUCUUGAGCCUGGAGAUUUCAUAGUUGCCAUGGAUUAUCUAAUGGAGAAGGAGUCUCUACUCCUUGGUUCAGCGGACGGGUGUCUCUUAUUGUAUAAUGUGGAGGAAAGAACAACCGAAGUUGUAGGAAGAUUGGAGGGUGGUGUCAAGACCAUUGCAUCUAGUCCUGAUGGUGCCCUUCUCUCUGUAACAACCGGAUUGGGGCAACUGCUCGUCAUGACACAUGAUUGGGAAGUGCUGUUUGAGACUUCUAUUGACCCUCAAAGUGCUUCUGCAUGCGAGAUCAAUAGUUCUGAUGGUCAGAUCCAAAGUUGUGUCUCUUGGAGGGGCGAUGGAAAACAUUUUGCUACCCUUGGGGGCUUUGAUGGUAACCCCAAAAGGCUUACUAUUUGGGAACGUGAAUCUGGAAAGGUUCAUUCUUCUUCAGACACGAAGAAUUUCAUGGGACAAUCACUAGACUGGAUGCCGAGCGGAGCAAAGGUUGUCACUGCCCAUGACAGGAGAACAGAGGGAAAGUGCCCUCUCAUUGUCUUCUAUGAGAAGAAUGGCUUAGAAAGAAGCCACUUUUCUAUUGAAGAACCAACAGAGGUUGUCAUCCAAGCAUUAAAAUGGAACUGCAACUCUGAACUCCUAGCUGCCCUAGUUUCUUGUGGCCAGUAUGAUGUUAUUAAAAUAUGGUCCUGCAGCAACAAUCACUGGUAUUUGAAACAAGAACUGCGCUACACAAAGAAAGAGGGGGUGAAGUUCUCUUGGGACCCGACAAAACCGCUGCAUCUCAUUUGUUGGACACUGGGAGGUGAGGUCAUUGCGCACAGUUUUGCAUGGACUACUGCUGUCAGUGAAACUUCAGUUGCAUUAGUUAUUGAUGGCCCUCGUAUCCUUAUAACUCCGCUCCAUUUGGGCCUCAUGCCACCCCCUAUGUCUCUGUUCUAUCUUGCAUUUCCUUGUACCGUGAAUGAGGUUUGUUUUGUAUCCAAGAACUCAAAGAACCAUUUGACUGCUUAUCUUUCAAAUGGCAGCUUAUGUGUUGUGGAACUUCCGGCAGCAGAUAAAUGGGAAGAGUUUGAAGGCAAUGGGAUAACUGUUGACCCUUGCCAUUGUGACUUCAGUUUGAAUAACUCUAUGCACCUCACAUGGAUAGAUACACGUACCUUAAUUGGUAUCUGUCGCUGCAGUGAUUACUGUUCUUCAACACCUAUGAAGUCCAGUGAAGCUGGUAACUUAGAAGAAAAACAUGAUUCGCUGUUCUCUGUCAAUGAGAUUAAACUUGUAUGUUCUGAAGACUGUUUGCCAGGUUCAGUGAGUUCAUCUGGUUGGCAAGCUAGAGUAUCAAAGAGAAUGCCUCUGGAGGGUCCUGUUAUUGGAGUCUCCCGAAACCCAGCAAAAGGAGGUUCAGCCUUUAUCCAGUUAAGUGGAGGAAAGAUUGUUGAAUACUGUUCAGAGUUGAGAAUGACUGCACCUAUACAAAGCGGUGAACUUUGUCCUGAUUAUGAUUUUCCAACAUCAUGUCCUUCAAUGACUGCCGUUCCAUGCCAUGAAAAUGGUGUGGUUCGAACCCUUCUGCUUGGACUUGAUGACAGCAGUAAGCUGCACCUGGGCAAAAGGUUAUUGAGCAACAACUGCAGCAGCUUCACAUUCUAUUCCAGUUCUUAUGGAGCUACUGAGCAGGUUGUGACCCACUUGCUUGUGACUACUAAGCAGGAUCUUUUGUUCAUUGUGGACAUCAAUGAGAUUUUCCUAAAAAACGGCCAAGUGACAAUUGAUAGCCAUGUUAACAACCAUCCUCGAGCAAAGCCAAGCAAAGAGCAUAUCACUGUUUGGGAAAAAGGAGCAAAAUUGAUUGGUGUUCUCCAUGGUGAUGAAGCGGCUGUCAUAAUUCAAACAACCCGUGGUAACUUAGAGUGUAUGUACCCUAGAAAGCUGGUCCUUGUUGCAAUUGUUCAGGCACUGGUCCAGAGGCGUUUCAAAGAUGCAAUGGACAUGGUAAGACGCCAUCGAAUAGAUUUCAAUAUGUUGGUUGAUUAUUGUGGAUGGAAAGCUUUUAUCAAGUCAGCAGCAGAUUUUGUUAAAGAAGUCAAUAACCUUAGCCACAUCACUGAAUUUGUUUGCUCAAUUAAGAAUGAGAAUGUCAGCUGCAAAUUGUAUGAGGCGUACAUAUCAUUCCCUGAGCAGUGCUCGAGCUCAAUGGAUAGUGAAAAUCUGCAUGGCGUCUUGUCAGAGAACAAAGUAACAUCUGUACUGAUGGCAAUCAGAAAAGCCCUUGAGGAACAAAUAGAAGAAAGCUCAUCAAGAGAACUGUGCAUACUGACCACUUUGGCGCGUAGCGAACCUCCAUUGUUGGAAGAAGCAUUGAAUAGAAUUAAAGUCAUUCGAGAACUGGAACUUCAUGGGGUUGAUGAUGGCCGACGGAAGCUUUACCCAUCUGCUGAAGAGUCUUUGAAGCACUUGCUUUGGUUAACAGAACCAGAAGCUGUUUUUAAUGCUGCUUUGGGACUGUAUGAUCUGAAUCUUGCUGCUAUAGUUGCUUUAAAUUCCCAAAAAGAUCCAAAGGAGUUCCUUCCUUUUCUUAAGGGUCUUGAAUGCCUACCUCCUGCUAUUAUGAGGUACACAAUAGAUUUGAAACUUGCAAGAUAUGAGAGUGCUCUCAGAAACAUUGUGUCUGCUGGUAAUGAGUAUCAUGCGGACUGCAUGGAACUCCUUAAUUCUAACCCUCAGCUGUUUCCACUGGGCCUCCAGUUAUUUAGUGACCCAGAUAAAAGACAUCAAAUUCUUGAGGCAUGGGGUGACCAUCUUUUUGAAGAGAAAUGCUUUGGAGAAGCUGCAGUAACUUAUCAAUGCUGCUCAUCAUAUCAGAAAUCUUUGAAAGCUUAUCAUGCCUGUGGGGACUGGAGAGGUGUGUUCACUGUUACAGGCCUUCUGAAGUUCACAAAGGAAGAAAUUCUUCAACUAGCACAGGAGCUAUGUGAUGAGUUCCAAGCACUCGGGAAGCCAGGAGAUGCCGCCAAGAUCGCACUGGAGUAUUGUUCAGAUGUUGAUAGAGGUGUAGGCUGCUACAUCAUGGCAAGAGAAUGGGAAGAGGCUCUUAGAGUGGCUUAUAUGCACAGCAGGCAGGAUCUUGUUGAUACUGUUAAAGAUGCAGCUCUGGAGUGCGCUGCAUUGCUGAUAUCUGAGUAUCAGGAAGGAUUGCUGAAGGUGGGUAAAUAUCUAGCACGCUACGUGGCUGUGCGGCAGAGGAGAUUAUCUCUCGCGGCUAAACUACAGUCAGAGGACCGAUUUAUGGAUGUCGAAGACGACAACAUUUCAGAAGUCAGCUCUAGCUUCAGCGAAAUGAGUGCAUACACGACGAGGUCAACAAAGGAAUCGAGCGCUUCUGUCAUAUCUAGCAGCGCCAGCAAGUCACGAGGGUCAAGGCGUCAAAAGAAAGCUGGCAAGAUACGAGCUGGAAGUCCUGGGGAGGAGAUGGCACUUGUGGAGCAUCUCAAGGGGAUGUCUCUGGCCACUGGUGCGCAAAAAGAGCUUAGAAGCCUGCUUGUGGUUCUAACACAGCUGGGAAAAGAAGAUAUCGCCCGUCAGGUGCAGCUGGCUGGAGAUAAUUUUGAGGUAUCGCAGAUGGCCGCAGUGAAGCUGGCGGAGGAUACAAUGUCUACCGACAAGAUGGACGAGAAUGCGCAUACCCUUGAGCAUUACACGAAAAUGCUGAGAGCACAUCAGCCUGUCGCUGGUGAAACCUCCUGGCGAAUCAAUGCUCUGUCGCCGCCUUGA